AUUGAACGCUGGCGGCAGGCUUAACACAUGCAAGUCGAGCGGAGAGAGGUAGCUUGCUACUGAUCUUAGCGGCGGACGGGUGAGUAAUGCUUAGGAAUCUGCCUAUUAGUGGGGGACAACAUUUCGAAAGGAAUGCUAAUACCGCAUACGUCCUACGGGAGAAAGCAGGGGAUCUUCGGACCUUGCGCUAAUAGAUGAGCCUAAGUCGGAUUAGCUAGUUGGUGGGGUAAAGGCCUACCAAGGCGACGAUCUGUAGCGGGUCUGAGAGGAUGCUCCGCCAAAGUGGGACUGAGACACGGCCCAGGACCCUACGGGAGGCAGCAGGGGGGAAUAUUGGACAAUGGGGGGAACCCUGAUCCAGCCAUGCCGCGUGUGUGAAGAAGGCCUUAUGGUUGUAAAGCACUUUAAGCGAGGAGGAGGCUACUCUAGUUAAUACCUAGGGAUAGUGGACGUUACUCGCAGAAUAAGCACCGGCUAACUCUGUGCCAGCCGCCGCAGUAA
rnacentral:rRNA from 1 species